rnacentral:sRNA from 1 species
GUAACUGCCGAAGACAGUAGGUGCUGCAAAGCGUAAGGAUAAAAACGCCUACCGAGGAAGAUUGGAUUUAGUACGUAACGUAUGAAUUUAUAAUCCCUCUGUGUCUUUGGGCACGGAGGUUUUUUACUGUA